rnacentral:rRNA from 1 species
AUGGGAACGCGAAGAACCUUACCUAGACUUGACAUCUCCUGAAUAGUGUAGAGAUACAUGAAGCCCUUCGGGGCAGGAAGACAGGUGGUGCAUGGUUGUCGUCAGCUCGUGUCGUGAGAUGUUGGGUUAAGUCCCGCAACGAGCGCAACCCUUAUUACUAGUUGCUACCAUUAAGUUGAGCACUCUAGUGAGACUGCCCGGGUUAACCGGGAGGAAGGCGGGGAUGACGUCAAAUCAUCAUGCCCCUUAUGUCUAGGGCAACACACGUGCUACAAUGGUGAGUACAGAUAGAUGCGAUACCGCAAGGUGGAGCCAAACUACUAAACUACAUCCCACGUUCGGUAUUGUAGGCUGCAACUCGCCUACAUGAAGUUAGGAGUUGCUAGUAAUACGCGAAUCAGAAUGUCGCGGUGAAU